GAUGAACGCUGGCGGCGUGCCUAAUACAUGCAAGUCGAGCGAACAGACGAGGAGCUUGCUCCUCUGACGUUAGCGGCGGACGGGUGAGUAACACGUGGAUAACCUACCUAUAAGACUGGGAUAACUUCGGGAAACCGGAGCUAAUACCGGAUAAUAUAUUGAACCGCAGGGUUCAAUAGUGAAAGACGGUUUUGCUGUCACUUAUAGAUGGAUCCGCGCCGCAUUAGCUAGUUGGUAAGGUAACGGCUUACCAAGGCAACGAUGCGUAGCCGACCUGAGAGGGUGAUCAGCCACACUGGAACUGAGACACGGCCCAGACUCCUACGGGAGGCAGCAGUAGGGAAUCUUCCGCAAUGGGCGAAAGCUUGAUGGAGCAACGCCGCGUGAGUGAUGAAGGUCUUCGGAUCGUAAAACGCUGUUAUUAGGAAAGAACAAAUGUGUAAGUAACUAUGCACGUCUUGACGGUACCUAAACAGAAAGCCACGGCUAACUACGUG
rnacentral:rRNA from 1 species